rnacentral:tRNA from 1 species
UAGGUUGUGGCUCAGUGGUAGAGCGCUCGCGUAGCAUGUGAGAGGCCCUGGGUUUGAUCCCCAGCAUCACAU